rnacentral:rRNA from 1 species
CCCUUAGAUGUUCUGGGCCGCACGCGCGCUACACUGACGAAGUCAGCGAGCAUGUCCUACGCCGACAGGUGCGGGGAAUCUUGUCAAACUUCGUCGUGAUGGGGAUUGAUUAUUGAAAUUCUUGAUCAUCAACGAGGAAUUCCUAGUAAGCGCAAGUCAGCAGCUUGCGUUGAUUACGUCCCUGCCCUUUGUACACACCGCCCGUCGCUACUACCGAUUGAAUGGUUUAGUGAGAUCUUCGGACUGGCGCCACUGCGGCUCAGCAAUGGGCUCGGUGGAUGCCGAAAAGUUGAUCAAACUUGAUCAUUUAGAGGAAGUAAAAGUCGUAACA